UACGUAGGUGGCAAGCGUUGUCCGGAUUUACUGGGCGUAAAGAGCGCGCAGGCGGUCGUUCAAGUCGCGUGUGAAAGCCCCCGGUUCAACUGGGGAGGGUCACGCGAUACUGAUCGACUCGAAGGCAGGAGAGGGUAGUGGAAUUCCCGGUGUAGUGGUGAAAUGCGUAGAUAUCGGGAGGAACACCAGUGGCGAAGGCGACUACCUGGCCUGUUCUUGACGCUGAGGCGCGAAAGCUAGGGGAGCAAACGGG
rnacentral:rRNA from 1 species